UACAGAGGGUGCAAGCGUUGUUCGGAAUUAUUGGGCGUAAAGAGCUUGUAGGCGGUUUGUCGCGUCUGCCGUGAAAAUCCGGGGCUCAACCCCGGACUUGCGGUGGGUACGGGCAGACUAGAGUGUGGUAGGGGAGACUGGAAUUCCUGGUGUAGCGGUGAAAUGCGCAGAUAUCAGGAGGAACACCGGUGGCGAAGGCGGGUCUCUGGGCCGAUACUGACGCUGAGGAGCGAAAGCGUGGGGAGCGAACAGG
rnacentral:rRNA from 1 species